CUGUGAGAAGUCCACAGAAAAGGCAUGAAAAGCUUUUAAUAAAGGACUGAUGAUGGUGUCAGUCCAGUCUGUCUCAACAUAAUUA